rnacentral:sRNA from 1 species
AUGGCUGUCGUCAGCUCGUGCUGUGAAGUGUCGGGUUAAGUCCCAUAACGAGCGCAACCCCUAUUUCUAGUUGCCAGCGGUUCGGCCGGGGACUCUAGAGAAACUGCCAGCGUAAGCUGUGAGGAAGGUGGGGACGACGUCAAAUCAUCACGGCCCUUACGUCCUGGGCCACACACGUGCUACAAUGGUGGGGACAACGAGUUGCCAACCCGCAAGGGUGAGCUAAUCUCUCAAACCCCAUCUCAGUUCGGAUCGGAGUCUGCAACUCGACUCCGUGAAGUUGGAAUCGCUAGUAAUCGCGCAUCAGCCAUGGCGCGGUGAAUACGUUCCCGGGCCUUGUACACACCGCCCGUCAAGCCAUGGAAUCUGGGGGCGCCUGAAGUCAGUAACCGCAAGGAGCUGCCUAGGGCGAAUCUGGUAACUAGGGCUAAGUCGUAACAAGGUAGCCGUACCGGAAGGUGCGGCUGGAUUAACUCCUUUUUAGAGAAAAACGACUCUCAAAACAUAUACGUUGGUUUUAUUGGGCUGCUGCAUCAUUCUUCUUUUUCCGUCCUUGUCUAGUCCUGUAGCUCAGUUGGUUAGAGCACUACACUGAUAAUGUAGGGGUCAGCAGUUCAAAUCUGCUCAGGACUACGGUAAAGAUGGGGGAUUAGCUCAGCUGGCUAGAGCGCCUGCCUUGCACGCAGGAGGUCAUCGGUUCGACUCCGAUAUUCUCCACUAAAAAAGAAGUUCUUUGACGUACUGGUAGAAGAUAGAGUAAAUUAUAAGCAACAAAGGGCAGUUGGCGGAUGCCUAGGCUCUCAAUAGCGAUGAAGGACGUGAUAAGCUGCGAUAAGCCAUACUGAGAUGCAAAUAAUCGUUUAAGUAUGGAUUUCCGAAUGGGGAAACCCGG